UAAGGCCGCAGGCAGACCACCUGCUGGAUAGGCGGGCGGUGUACGCGCAGCAAUGCGUUCAGCCAACCCGUACUAAUGGCCGAGGGCUU
rnacentral:rRNA from 1 species